UGCCUACGGGAGGCAGCAGUGGGGAAUAUUGCACAAUGGGGGGAACCCUGAUGCAGCGAUGCCGCGUGAAGGAAGAAGAUUUUCGGAUCGUAAACUUCUAUCAGCAAGGAAGAAAAAGGACAGUACAUGACUAAGAAGCCCCGGCUAACUACGUGCCAGCAGCCGCGGUAAUACGUAGGGGGCAAGCGUUAUCCGGAAUCACUGGGUGUAAAGGGAGCGUAGACGGCGGUGCAAGCCUGAAGUGAAAGGCGGGGGC
rnacentral:rRNA from 1 species